AAUCGUUAAAACUUUCAACAACGGAUCUCUUGGUUCUGGCAUCGAUGAAGAACGCAGCGAACUGCGAUAAGUAAUGCGAAUUGCAGAAUUCAGCGAGCCAUCGAAUCUUUGAACGCACAUUGCGCCCGCCAGCAUUCUGGCGGGCAUGCCUGUCCGAGCGUCAUUUCCUCCCUCACGCAGCACGCCUGCGUGGUGUUGGGGCGUUCUGCGGCCCGGCUUGCGCC
rnacentral:rRNA from 1 species